rnacentral:lncRNA from 1 species
UAGAAAACACGAAAAGACCAAUGGAGCAUAAUUUACAACAAAUCCUUUUAUCGAUAAUAAAACCUUUACCAUUCACUUACCCGGUGAAAUUCAUAAGACAAUAUACGAAAACAAUGACAUCAUUAUCAUCAUGAAAACAUAUAUAUGAACUGUAUAACAUAAUACCUAUCACACUUCUCGUAAUUCAAUCGUUAACAACAUAUUUUCCUAAUUCACCAGCCCACUAGUAUCCAUGGGGAUCCAUAGGGGUCCCGCUACCCGUUAAUCCUUAACACUUGAAAUCAUAUUCCAGGGCCGACCCCAUACCCCGUCCGGUAUGGGCGUCAGAUCAUAAACCUCAUUACCCCGUCCGGUAUGAGGGUGAAACGGGCCGUCCCCAUACCCCGUCCGGUAUGGGCGCCAAAACACAUAAGAUCUCCAUACCCCGUCCGGUAUGGGAGACCACAAUCCCGGUAGGGUUCCCUACGGACCCGGUCCGUCCACCAUCUCCCAGGAUAUCUAGUCAGGCUGAACACAUUAUACAAUUUCCAUUCACAUAAUCUUUCAUUCUCCUUUUUCCCUCAGUCAGCAUUAUCAAUCACAUACAAACAAGCAAAACGAUAAUUUAUGCCAAACAGAUAACAUACAGCAUCAAUAUCCCGGUCAUUCAAUCCAUAAUCAAUAAAACAGUAAAAUAUGCACACGAAACUAUAAAAUAAAAACAUCGAACCUCAUGCUGCAUUUAAAACUGUAAAACAGGCCAAAUAACAGUUAACCGACAAACACACUAGACUCGGGCUCCAUUAGCGACCUUAAGCAAUUUCACACAUUCGUUGAUUCAUGAAAUACCGUUUUAUCAUUUAUUGAACUUUAAAACCGUGAUAGGAAAUAGGGUGAGGGGUCCUUACUCGUUUCGGGGUCCGAACACGGCUUCACAGUGCACUUGCAGGCUGUCCCUAAUUUUCCCUGAAUUUUCCUCGGAGAACUGAAAUGCACUACUGGUACCUGCACGUGUUCCAAAAAAAUCCCAAAUUAGGCCCAGGGCUCCUUUUUGGCCAAUAUCGCAAUUCCGGCACGGCGGCUCCCCAGUGCUCCGGUGGCGGCGAUUCGCCUUGGGUUGGCCGUUUUCGGCUGUUUCCGGCCGAAUUCGGCCACACUUGCAUCGGUUCCUGCGAUAAGACAACCCUAGGGCCCUCGAGGAGCCAAAAAAAUUACGAAAAACUGAAGCUUACCGACGGCGGUGCUCUCGGGUGCGACGGCUCUCCGGUGAGGUUCGUGCUUUGGUGAUUUGGCUCCGAUCAAUUGUGCAAUGAAGGUUGGGUCUCGGUGAUGAUAAGCUGCAAUGUAUAUGAUUGCCGCUCGGAAAUUAAGGACAGCAGAGAGAGAGCUUCUUCUGUGACAGAGAUGGCCUGAGCUGCUUGGAGUCGCGCUGAAGAAAAUACAGAGAUGGGUGAUAUUUGUGUUUAUGUCAAUAAGUAAAGGCCAGUAAUUGGUUCUGCGAGUAGAAGGAAAAUAAAGAAUGAGAAGAACAAUUUGAGGGGAUUUUUUUUCUAAGUAUUUUGCGAAGAGUCCAUGGAGAAGAUGAGCUCUCUCUCUCUUCUCGGCCUCCUCUCUCUCUCUACGCCCCUUUUGCCUCAAGGAUUCCUCCUUUCUCUGUUUUCGAGUUUCGUUCUUUAUAGUGGAGCGAAGCUGUUUAGAUCAGCAUCCCCGCACUGAAGAUUCUCCAAAAAUCACGAAAACCCAUCUCUUCCCGCUCGCGACGUGCACGUCCUUCCUUCCUUCUUCUUCUCCCGUUUUCUGUGCCACUACGCUGCUUAUAGUGGAGCGGUACAUGUCUUUGCUUCCUUCUUCUUCUUUCGUUCUCUGCGCCACCAUGCUCUUUUCCUUUUUUUUUUUUUUUUUUUGGGCUGGAUAAAUAAUUAAUGAGGUAAUUACAAAAAUGCCAUGUUCUGGGCGUUACAACUCUCCUCCCCUUAAAGAAAUUUGGUCCCCCAUAUUUGCCUCUUACUCUUGAUCGAACAGAUGGGGAUACUGGGCUUUAAAUUCUGAUUCCAGUUCCCAAGUAGCCUCCCUGGGCGUGUGGUCCUGCCACACGACCUUUACAAAUGAUAUUUUUCAGUUGCGGAGUAUUCUGCUCUCUCGGCUCGUGAUACCGACCGGUACUUCUUCAUAAGACAAGUCUUCUUGGAGUGGAAGCGGUUCAUGAGUCAAGACAUGAGAAGGAUCCGGGUUAUACUUACGUAGCAUAGAUACGUGAAACACAUUAUGAACCCGAGAGAGCUCAGGAGGCAGUGCAAGUCUGUAGGCAGUGGUACCAAUCUUGUCUAAGAUUUCAAAGGGUCCAAUAUAUCUGGGAUUUAAUUUUCCCCUCCUGCCGAACCUACUAAUUCCCUUGAAGGGGGUGACUUUAAGAAACACCCGGUCGCCUUUCUCAAAGGCCAGGUCUCUCCUCCGAGUAUCAGCAUAACUCUUCUGCCUACUCUGAGCUGUCUGGAUGUUCUUCUUGAUCUUAACUAUCUUGGACGUGGUUUCUUCUACCAAAUCCGGGCCAAACAAUCUUCUAUCGCCCACUUCUUCCCAACAGAUCGGCGACCUGCACGGACGCCCGUAUAGCGCCUCGUAUGGGGCCAUGCCGAUGCUUGCUUGGUAACUGUUGUUGUAAGCAAACUCUAUCAGGGGUAGGUGGUCGUCCCAAUGGCCCCCGGAGUCAAGGACACAAGCUCGGAGCAUAUCCUCCAGCGUACGAAUUGUCCUCUCUGAUUGUCCAUCGGUUUGGGGGUGGAAAGCAGUACUAAGAGACAGCUUUGUUCCCAUAGCUUGCUGGAAACUAUUCCAAACCCGAGAAGUGAAUCUGGGAUCCCUGUCGGAUACCACUGUUACUGGAACUCCAUGCAGUCUGACUACCUCCCGGAUAUACAUUCUUGCUAACUUGUCCAAAGGAUCAGUCAUUCUGAUGGCCAGGAAGUGGGAAGACUUAGUGAGUCGGUCAACAAUUACCCAUAUAGCAUCAUGUCCCGAUCGUGCCUUGGGUAGCCCCGAUACGAAGUCCAUGGUGAUGUGUUCCCACUUCCACUCUGGAAUCGGUAAAGGCUGAAGUAACCCGCCCGGGCGUUGAUGUUCUGCUUUGACCUGCUGACAAACCAAGCACUUAGACACAAAGUCAGCUAUAUCUCUCUUCAUCCCAUUCCACCAGAACCGAGGUCGCAUAGUUUGGUACAUUUUCGUACUUCCUGGAUGCAUGGCGAACCUUGAGCUAUGGGACUCUGUCAUGAUGUCUCUUCUUAACUCACUGUCAUCUGGGACACACACUCUGUCCCUGAAACGAAUCAAUCCAUCGGCGGAGAUCUGAAAUUCUGAGCUCACUCCCUGUUCUACACUCUUCUUGCGGGUUACCAGGGCGGGGUCGACUGACUGGGCUUCCUUUAUUCUUUGGAUUAACUCGGGUUGGACUGCUAGGUGGCCCAAACAUGUGACUCUCUUCAGGUCUCGCAGGCGAACCUGCUGUGUAGCCCUAAUGGACCUACAUUCUGAAACCAUCAGAUGGGCCAGGGUGCCUGCACUUUUCCUGCUGAGGGCAUCGGCCACCACGUUGCCCUUACCUGGAUGGUAUAGGAUGUCACAAUCAUAGUCCUUGAGGAGUUCCAUCCACCUUCUCUGACGCAUGUUGAGAUCCUUCUGGGUGAAGAUAUGCUUCAAACUCUUAUGAUCAGUGAAGAUCUGAAAGGUCUCUCCAUACAAAUAAUGGCGCCAGGUUUUCAAGGCAUGUAUGAUGGCGGCAAGCUCCAAGUCAUGGGUAGGAUAGUUCUUCUCAUGAUUCUUUAGCUGUCUAGACCCAUAUGCUAUAACCUUUCCAUGCUGCAUUAGGACACAACCCAGACCCAGAUAGGAGGCAUCACUAUAAACUGUGUACCCUCCUGAUCCACUCGGUAGAGCCAGCACUGGUGCAGUAGUCAGUCGCUUCUUCAACUCUAAAAAACUCCUCUCGCAGUUCUCAUUCCAUUCAAACCUUGCAUUCUUCUUUGUGAGUCGGGUUAGAGGAGCUGCUAGACUAGAGAACCCUUCGACAAACCGGCGGUAAUAACCUGCCAUCCCUAGGAAACUGCGAAUUUCCUUAACUGUUGUCAGCCUUUCCCAACCAAGUACCGCUUCAACCUUUUCGGGGUUCACCGACACUCCUUCCUUCGAUAUAACAUGUCCUAGGAAGGCGGUUUGUUCGAGCUAAAAUCCACACUUGCUCAACUUCGCAUACAACUUAUUUUCCCUGAGUACCUGUAGGACUUGGGCAAGAUGAUGAACAUGUUUUUCCCUACUUUUUGAGUAAACUAAGAUAUCAUCGAUGAACACGAUGACAAAUUGGUCCAAGAAUUCUUUGAAGAUUCUGUUCAUUAGAUCCAUAAAGAUGGCCGGGGCGUUGGUUAGCCCAAACGGCAUAACCAAGAACUCAUAGUGUUCGUACCUGGUUCGGAAUGCCGUCUUGGGGAUGUCUUCUGCUCUCACUUUUACAUGAUGGUAACCUGAUCGUAGAUCUAUUUUAGAAAAGACCUGUGCACCCUGCAACUGAUCGAAAAGGUCAUCAAUCCGGGGAAGAGGGUACUUGUUCUUAAUUGUUACCUUGUUUAUCCUUUUAUAAUCAAUGCACAGUCUCAACGUUCCAUCCCCUUUCUUUGCAAAAGUAACCCCGGCACCCCAUGGGGAAAUGCUGUGUCUAAUGAAGCCACUGUUUUGUAGCUCAGUGAUUUGUUUCCUUAGCUCUUCCAUCUCGAUGCGGCUCAUUCGGUAAGGAGCUACCGAGAUGGGCUGGGUUCCUGGCUGUAAGUCUAUGGUGAACUCGACCUCUCUAUCCCCUGAUAGACCGGGCAGUUCAUCCGGAAAUACGUCUGGAAAGUCUCGGACUACUGGAAUCUCUUGGAUACAAACUUCUUUCUUGGGUUUACCUAGUUAGGGAAAAAUACAAUAUUAAGGCACUGGGAAUUAAGAAGAAAAGAGUUUGUCAUUAGGGAAAAUCAGUACCGAAUAAUUUUAUUAACUUGUGAAUGGCUCCUCGUUGGGAGGAUUAAAUACAAUCUUUUUAUUAAAGCAGUCUAUGGUGGCGUGAUACGCCACUAGCCAAUCCAUUCCUAGGAUUACAUCAAAAUCCCCUGUGUCUAACCCUAUCAGGUCUACCCUCAAUUUCCUAUCUGCUAUCUCCACGGCACAUGCCCUGUAGACAACCUCUCCUAGCAAUGUCUCCCCCCCAGCGGUAGAUACAAGCAAUAAUGAAUCAAGUCUAUCAGGUGAUACACAAAUUUUGGAAGCAAGAACAUGUGAAAUAAAAGAAUGUGAUGCACUAGUAUCAAACAAAAUAUGAGCAAUGUGGCCAGAGAUAGUAUACAUACCAUGUACCACGUCCGGGUCUGCGUCGGCAUCCUUCUGGGUAAGGUUGUAAACUCUGCCCUGGAUUGGAGGCCUCCCUUGAUUCUGGUUUCUAGGGCAUUCCCUCGCAUAGUGCUGGGCACUGCCGCAUAUGCGACAGGUGUUGUUGAGGCGGUAGCAGGGUCGGUCCCCAUGAUCCCUGCCGCAGUACUGGCAGAUCGUCCCACGUGCUGCCCCCAUAGCCUGAGGAGGGGCCUGAACGGCAGGCCUGGGCCUCUUACUGGGUUGGACAGGCAUGGUAGGCGCUGGCCUGCGGAGCGGGGCUGAGGGUCGGGAACUUCCCGCUAGCUGAGGGCGGGUGUCGAAGCUCCUUUCUAUGAUCUGCGCCUUUGCCAGGACUGCCGAAUAUGUCUCGAGCUCCAUCACCAAUAAGUGCUGUCUGAUCGCCGGGCGGAGGCCCCACUGGAAUUUCCUGGCCUUUCAGCCCUCAUCCAACAAUGUCUCCGGGGCAUGUCGGCCGAGCUCCAGGAACUUGCGGGCAUACUCCGACACUGUCAUAUUACCCUGGACCAAUUGAGCAAAUUCCAUUUCCUUUAAAUGUUGGAUGUGUUUAGGGAGAUACUCCGCAUGGAAGGCCGCUAGGAACUGCUCCCAAGUAACUGGUACAGGCAGGGUGGCCCGCUUGAGCUCCCACCAGCGUACUGCUUCCCCUACCAGCAUGUAGGAGGCAAUGGCAGCCCUCUGCUCAGGAACUACUCCCAAGGUCUCAAAAGCUCUCUCAGUCUCUGCCAGCCAGUAUUGGGCCUCCUCGAACGAGGAUCCCCCUAAAAAAGUAGAAGGGUUCAGUCUCCUGUACCUCUCUAUGAAGCCGGGGUCGAUCAAGGAGGGAGCGGGGUCCCGAGGUAGAGGGACUGGGGCCGGCUGAGGGUGAACUGGGGGACCCUGUGGUGGCGCCUGCUGAUGUGGUGGGGGCACUGGAAUGUGCUGUGGCGGCACCUGUUGGUACUGUGGCUGUGGUACCGGAUCGUACCGCGGCUGUGGUGCCGGGUGGUAUCGUGGAGGAACAGGCUCCUGCCGGGGUGGCUCGGGAUCAGCCUGCUGUAGCGGGGGCUCAACCUGCGCUAGCCGAGGAGGUCCCGGUAACUCCCUUCUCUCCUCUUGCCUUCGUUGGGCAGCUGCGAGAGCCUCCACCAUCUCGAAUAGUCUAUCUAAAUCCUCCCGAAUUGAAUUAUCUGGGGCCGCUCGGUUUAGUGGGGGCCUUCCUCUCCUCAUUUCUGUGUUCCUGCAUUCACAAGGAAUGAUUGAGUAACAAUAUAUCGGUGAAUAUUUCUCUAAGGCACAUUAGUGUAAGGGAUGGGUCUGAGAAAAUGCGGCUCUGAUACCAACUGUAGCGACCCCAGAAAUUUAAAAUGGAAAUUAAAUUAUAAAUAUCAAAUGCGGAAGUGAAGUCAAAGUUUGAAUAACAUCCCUUACACUGAAACCAAAACGUGCUCACAAAAUAUAGAAGAUUAAACUACCUAAAGGAGAAACUUGAAAGUAAAAACUACGAAUGUAACUAUGGAGUCUUUAGGCGUCCCCUUCGUCGUCCGCCUGCGGAACCGGCUCGGGAACGAUGUCCUCUUGAUCUGAAAUGAUUAAAUAAGGAAUGAACUACACUACCCCAGUAAAGACAUCACGAUAUCUCACCGUCACGGAGGUAAAGGUGGGUAGAAAACACGAAAAGACCAAUGGAGCAUAAUUUACAACAAAUCCUUUUAUCGAUAAUAAAACCUUUACCAUUCACUUACCCGGUGAAAUUCAUAAGACAAUAUACGAAAACAAUGACAUCAUUAUCAUCAUGAAAACAUAUAUAUGAACUGUAUAACAUAAUACCUAUCACACUUCUCGUAAUUCAAUCGUUAACAACAUAUUUUCCUAAUUCACCAGCCCACUAGUAUCCAUGGGGAUCCAUAGGGGUCCCGCUACCCGUUAAUCCUUAACACUUGAAAUCAUAUUCCAGGGCCGACCCCAUACCCCGUCCGGUAUGGGCGUCAGAUCAUAAACCUC